UACGGGGGUGGCGAGCGUUACUCGGAUUUAUUGGGUGUAAAGGGCAGGUAGGCGUUCCAUCAAGUUGGGAGUGAAAUCCUGAGGCUCAACCUCAGAACUGCUUUCAAAACUGAUGGGAUUGAGACUGGAAGAGGAGAGCGGAAUUCCCGGUGUAAGGGUGAAAUCUGUAGAUAUCGGGAGGAACACCAGUGGCGAAAGCGGCUCUCUGGUCUAGUUCUGACGCUAAGCUGCGAAAGCUAGGGGAGCAAACAGG
rnacentral:rRNA from 1 species